GAUGAAGAACGUAGUGAAAUGCGAUAAGUAAUGUGAAUUGCAGAAUUCAGUGAAUCAUCGAAUCUUUGAACGCACAUUGCGCCCGCCAGUAUUCUGGCGGGCAUGCCUGUUCGAGCGUCAUUUCAACCCUCAGGCCCCCAGUGCCUGGUGCUGGGGAUCGGCAGCAGGGCGUCAAGCCCGCCGGCCCCGAAAUCUAGUGGCGGUCUCGCUGUAGUCCUCCUCUGCGUAGUAGCACAACCUCGCAGUUGGAACGCGGCGGUGGCCAUGCCGUUAAACACCCCACUUCUGAAAGUUGACCUCGGAUCAGGUAGGAAUACCCGCUGAACUUAAGCAUAUCAAUAAGCGGAGGA
rnacentral:misc_RNA from 1 species